rnacentral:rRNA from 1 species
AUUGAACGCUGGCGGAAUGCUUUACACAUGCAAGUCGAGCGGCAGCGCGGGGCAACCUGGCGGCGAGCGGCGAACGGGUGAGUAAUACAUCGGAACGUACCCAGUUGUGGGGGAUAGCCCGGCGAAAGCCGGAUUAAUACCGCAUACGACCUGAGGGUGAAAGCGGGGGAUCGCAAGACCUCGCGCAAUUGGAGCGGCCGAUGGCGGAUUAGCUAGUUGGUAGGGUAAAGGCCUACCAAGGCGACGAUCCGUAGCGGGUCUGAGAGGACGGCCCGCCACACUGGAACUGAGACACGGUCCAGACUCCUACGGGAGGCAGCAGUGGGGAAUUUUGGACAAUGGGGGAAACCCUGAUCCAGCCAUUCCGCGUGAGUGAAGAAGGCCUUCGGGUCGUAAAGCUCUUUCGGCAGGAACGAAACGGUGGGUCCUAAUACGAUCUGCUAAUGACGGUACCUGAAGAAGAAGCCCCGGCCAAAUAUGUGCCAGCCGCCGCCGUAA